rnacentral:rRNA from 1 species
UGGGGAAUAUUGGACAAUGGGCGAAAGCCUGAUCCAGCCAUGCCGCGUGUGUGAAGAAGGUCUUCGGAUUGUAAAGCACUUUAAGUUGGGAGGAAGGGCAGUAAGCUAAUACCUUGCUGUUUUGACGUUACCGACAGAAUAAGCACCGGCUAACUCUGUGCCAGCAGCCGCGGUAAUACAGAGGGUGCAAGCGUUAAUCGGAAUUACUGGGCGUAAAGCGCGCGUAGGUGGUAUGUUAAGUUGGAUGUGAAAGCCCCGGGCUCAACCUGGGAACUGCAUCCAAAACUGGCAAGCUAGAGUACGGUAGAGGGUGGUGGAAUUUCCUGUGUAGCGGUGAAAUGCGUAGAUAUAGGAAGGAACACCAGUGGCGAAGGCGACCACCUGGACUGAUACUGACACUGAGGUGCGAAAGCGUGGGGAGCAAACA